CCAGAGGUCAGGCAGUUGUCAGGAAGUUGUUUGCAGAGAACAGUCUGACACAUGCUUGAGAAUCUGAAAAAGUGAGGCCUUCUUAAGCAGCCUGGGGGUAUGGCAAGCCUUAGACGUCUGCGAUAAAGGGGCUGCAGGAUCCAGAUGACAGAAGCCAGCGAUGAACACCGACUGUGGACAACAGAUGAAAUAGAUAGACUGCGAUCUGUUUCUGAAAAGACUCAGUUGUGACAGAAAUGCCUAGAAGAGACCAAGUAGUUGUGUGAAACUCCGUGAUGACUAGAAUUAUUUGCUACUGGUGAGUGAUUCCAAUAAAGAGCAUGUAGUGCACACAGAAGAAUGAAGCAUUCUGAAACAGUAAAAAAGACUGCAGGAUACGUGCCCUUAUACUUAGAGACAAGCCAAUGCGAGAAAGUCAUUUUCCUGUUUGGUACCCACAGCAUGUUGCUUUGCAGAUAUUCAAGGGUUUACUGCACAAACAGUCACUCAAAAUAAGAUUCUAAACGAUAAUGUGUUUUCUGAUCCAUAAAAAUACAAUCUCUUUCUUUAAAA